UACGAAGGGGGCUAGCGUUGCUCGGAAUCACUGGGCGUAAAGGGUGCGUAGGCGGGUCUUUAAGUCAGGGGUGAAAUCCUGGAGCUCAACUCCAGAACUGCCUUUGAUACUGAGGAUCUUGAGUUCGGGAGAAGUGAGUGGAACUGCGAGUGUAGAGGUGAAAUUCGUAGAUAUUCGCAAGAACACCAGUGGCGAAGGCGGCUCACUGGCCCGAUACUGACGCUGAGGCACGAAAGCUAGGGGAGCAAACAGG
rnacentral:rRNA from 1 species